CCUACGGGUGGCUGCAGUGGGGAAUAUUGCACAAUGGGGGAAACCCUGAUGCAGCGACGCCGCGUGAGUGAAGAAGUAUUUCGGUAUGUAAAGCUCUAUCAGCAGGGAAGAUAAUGACGGUACCUGACUAAGAAGCCCCGGCUAACUACGUGCCAGCAGCCGCGGUAAUACGUAGGGGGCAAGCGUUAUCCGGAUUUACUGGGUGUAAAGGGUGCGUAGGUGGCAGGGCAAGUCAGAUGUGAAAGCCCGGGGCUCAACCCCGGUACUGCAUUUGAAACUGUCCAGCUGGAGUGCAGGAGAGGUAAGCGGAAGUCCUAGUGUAGCGGUGAAAUGCGUAGAUAUUAGGAGGAACACCAGUGGCGAAGGCAGCAUACCGGCGCUCAACUGACGCUCAUGCACGAAAGUGUGGGUAUCGAACAGGAUUAGAUACCCUAGUAGUC
rnacentral:rRNA from 1 species